AGAGUUUGAUCGUGGCUCAGGACGAACGCUGGCGGCGUGCCUAAUACAUGCAAGUCGAGCGGACAGAUGGGAGCUUGCUCCCUGAUGUUAGCGGCGGACGGGUGAGUAACACGUGGGUAACCUGCCUGUAAGACUGGGAUAACUCCGGGAAACCGGGGCUAAUACCGGAUGCUUGUUUGAACCGCAUGGUUCAAACAUAAAAGGUGGCUUCGGCUACCACUUACAGAUGGACCCGCGGCGCAUUAGCUAGUUGGUGAGGUAAUGGCUCACCAAGGCAACGAUGCGUAGCCGACCUGAGAGGGUGAUCGGCCACACUGGGACUGAGACACGGCCCAGACUCCUACGGGAGGCAGCAGUAGGGAAUCUUCCGCAAUGGACGAAAGUCUGACGGAGCAACGCCGCGUGAGUGAUGAAGGUUUUCGGAUCGUAAAGCUCUGUUGUUAGGGAAGAACAAGUACCGUUCGAAUAGGGCGGUACCUUGACGGUACCUAACCAGAAAGCCACGGCUAACUACGUGCCAGCAGCCGCGGUAAUACGUAGGUGGCAAGCGUUGUCCGGAAUUAUUGGGCGUAAAGGGCUCGCAGGCGGUUUCUUAAGUCUGAUGUGAAAGCCCCCGGCUCAACCGGGGAGGGUCAUUGGAAACUGGGGAACUUGAGUGCAGAAGAGGAGAGUGGAAUUCCACGUGUAGCGGUGAAAUGCGUAGAGAUGUGGAGGAACACCAGUGGCGAAGGCGACUCUCUGGUCUGUAACUGACGCUGANGAGCGAAAGCGUGGGGAGCGA
rnacentral:rRNA from 2 species